GCCGGGGUAGCUCAGUUGGUAGAGCAACGCAUUCGUAAUGCGUGGGUCGGGGGUUCGAUUCCCUUCCCCGGCA
rnacentral:tRNA from 1 species